UUUGCCAAGGCACCUGUGGAGGACAAAGAACAACUUUCAGGAGUUGGCUCUCUCCUUUCAUCAUGUGGGUCCCUUGGGAUGGAACUCUGGUCUUCAGGUGUGGUGGUCAUUUUCUUAUUUUCAUAUGUAGUUUAGGUUUUUUUGGGCAGGUUUAUAGAAGGAGGACUCCUUUUUUUCCGUCCAACUUGAUAGUCCAUCUUUUAAUAGGUGGAUCCCCUGCUCUGUAUGGGUCUCUGCUCUGGUACAGCAGCAGUGUUAACACAGUCUUCAUUUACAUAAGAAGAGCAGCUCACUCUCAGCCAAACAGAACAAAUCAAAUCCCCCUGUAACCUAUCAGUUCCAGCCUAAGACUUUGAAUGCUCUCCAUGUCAUUUUCUAGCCCUACAGAUAAUUACCUGCCACAGAUUCCAAGGACUGAAUUCCUUUCAUCAGGCUUGGCAGCAAGCACCUUUACCAACGGAGCCCUCUCGCUGGCCUGGAAUACCAUAGUUUUUAGAAAUCUGAUUCUAACCCCACCUUACAUGAAAUGGUAAGGCUGGAGUCUGGAAGAUGGUUCAGUCAGUACUAUGCCUUCCCCACAAGCGUGAAGACCUGAGUUUGGAUCCCCAGCACCCACAAAAAAAACAAGUGCAGCAGUAUAAUUCCAGCAGUGGGGUGCACACACGUGCACAAGCACCCAGGCACACACAUAUGUACAUCACACACACAAACACACACACACACACAAACACACACACACACACACAGCAGUAGUAAAGCUAGAGAGGGUUAAAUAAAAUGGCUAGCAAACCUAGGGAAAGUCACACAGCAGAGCAGCAUAGGAAAUUAAUUUCUCAAAACUGUACAUCUCUACCCAUGCAUACUAUGGAGGACAACUCUCAGAUAUAGGUUUCCACUGGUGAGCAACUUUAUCUUAUCAGGAAAGAUACAUACAUAGCAUUAUCUUCUGAUUCCUUUGUAAGGAGAGUCAGUGUGUCAGCCCCGGAUCCACAGUGAUUUUAGCAGCAUUCAGUCUCAUUCUGCAAGACUUAAGCAGAAUGAGACCUUUCCCAUGUCUUCCAAGCCAGAAACUCUAGCCAGGCAUGUGUACUGUCUCAGCCAUGCUGCAGUCACAAAGGCUUGCAAAGUUAUUGUCUAUUGUGUUUGAAGACAAAGAAUGGAAUUGUGUUUGUCACUUUCCUUGGUGGGUUAUUCCUUUCUCAAAGGCCAUUUUACUUCUGACCCAAAAAGAUAUCACACCCUCAGACCUGUUUGCUACUAGUCCAGUAUGUGGCUAACUACAAUCACUACUUCCAUAAAUGCUCCAUUAAAUGCUGUUCUGUGUCUUUGGUUGACUGUGUGUAGCCCUUUUUGCAGACAAAGUACUCAACAGUUCGGUUGGAGGUGCUUGUUAACUUUCAGAUGUUAAUUAAAGAUGAUCUUCUGGCUGGACUAUUAAUGAUGCGUCUCACCCUCUCUGUUGAAUAACUGUGCCCCUAAAAAUGU